GCCCGCCUAGCUCAAUCGGAUAGAGCGUCAGACUCUUAUAGCGGGUGCACGGUCACUUCAAUUAUAAUCUGAAGGCUGCGAGUUCGACCCUCGCGGUGGGCU